GAUUAGCUCAGUUGGAUAGAGCGUUGGUCUCCGGAACCAGAGGUCGCGCGUUCGAGUCGCGCAUCGCCCGCCA
rnacentral:tRNA from 1 species